GGGGUCUUAACAAGCUUACGUGGCAAAUAAAUAAUUUAAUAUUCAUUACAUAAUAAAAUCAUUUUAUCAGCUUGGGCAAAAUGGUCAAGAUCUUAAAAAGCCCUAAUUAAAAUAAAAGAAAUAGGCUUAAAUAUGUUCUUCCUCAACCUCCAUGGAUUCCGGCCGGAAUCAACACCACCACCACCACCACCAAUCGUCCACCACCAACAGCAUCAACAACGGCCGAAAACCCAGACUCACGAAUCAGAGCCGUUGAUUCAGUUAAAUGGGCAUCAACACCACCACCAUCAUCACCACCAGCAGACGGUGGAGAAAGAAAUGAAAAGAUUACCUUCGUCAGUUCGGUUCAGCGCUUACCUUCGUCAGUUCUCAAUAACAAGCAUCAUCAUCAGUUAGUGAAAAAUGGAUCUAUUGAAAAGAAGGAACCAAUAACCACCAUUAAUUUUGCUCCGGUCGCGUUGACGGUAGAACCACCGGAGAAUGACGUCGUUGUUUUCGAAUCCGCCCAGAAAAUCAUCCUCCGCUGGGACUCCACGGUUUCGGAGGCAAGAGAGAGAAUGAUCUUUGACGGCUAUCGUCACGAGAUCGAUCGCUACUUACAGGCUGUCGAUGAAGUCCAACAACGCCAUCCAGAUCUCCAUGGACCGACUCGCUUCUCGAUCCAAGCUCACCGACUCCUCCGACACCGCCACCGCCACCGCCUCCAUCCAGAAUGCUCUCAGCCGUCUCCUCCGACACCGCCACCGCCGCCACGCCCCUUCUCUGCCGCCUUCUCUACCGGAUCUGGGUUUGGAUUUAUCUGGGUUUCGAGCCAUGGAGAUCUUUUUCCGUCGUUGCUUCUUCUUUCCGCCACCAUAACCAUCGCUUCCCAAGUCCCUCCGCCACCACUCCCUGCUGCUUCUCUUGUUGCACAUGCUCCUCUGAUAGCCCUUCACAUAAUUAUUAAUAGUUAUGGAAAUUAAUACCUAAAUAAUUUAAAAAUAGAAAACUUUAUGAAAAGAGAAUUAGGGUGUAGACUAAUUAAAAGGCGAUUGCCAUCUCUGUCUUUCUGGCCACCCUUUAUGAGCAAAACUUUAGCUGGAAGAUUGAUUCCUCCGAUAUCGGCUCAAUCAGUGGCUCCGCCGGUGGUCAGAAUUUGAAUGGGAUGAAUUAAAUCAGAGAAAGAGAAAAUGAAAGAGGAUUUCAAAGUAAUUUUUGUUAGGUUUUAAAGUGAUUUGACAAAUUUGCCCUCAC
rnacentral:lncRNA from 1 species